CCUACGGGUGGCAGCAGUGGGGAAUAUUGCACAAUGGGGGAAACUCUGAUGCAGCGACGCCGCGUGAGUGAAGAAGUAAUUCGUUAUGUAAAGCUCUAUCAGCAGGGAAGAAAAUGACGGUACCUGAGUAAGAAGCUCCGGCUAACUACGUGCCAGCAGCCGCGGGAAUACGCAGGGGGCCAGCGUUAUCCGGAUGUACUGGGUGUAAAGGGAGCGUAGACGGCAGUGCAAGUCUGGAGUGAAAGGCGGGGGCUCAACCCCCGAACUGCACUUGAAACUGUACGGCUGGAGUGCAGGAGAGGUAAGUGGAAUUCGUAGUGUAGCGGUGAAAUGCGUAGAUAUUACGAAGAACACCGGUUGCGAAGGCAGCUUACUGGACUGCAACUGACGUUGAGGCUCGAAAGCGUGGGGAGCAAACAGGAUUAGAUACCCGUGUAGUC
rnacentral:rRNA from 1 species